rnacentral:lncRNA from 1 species
UGUAAUGAUUAUUGCAGAUAUGAUUGCAUAAUCAAAGAACAUCUAAGGGACUGAGUUGUCAACCUCGCAAGCUGUUUUAAGACGCAGGAGGUUUUUUUUUAUCUCAUAUAGUUUUUUUCCCCCUUGAAAUGUUUGAUAAAUUAAAUUUAUUUACAGUGAUGUCAAGUUCCAAAAUAAUGACUUUUCUUGUAUUCCAAAACAACGGACAGCGAUGAUGAGCCUACAGACCUGUAAUGAUCAUUGCUGAUAUGAUUGCAUAAUCAAAGAACAUCUAAGGGACUGAGUUGUCAACCUCACAGGCUGUUUUAAGAUGCAGGAGGCUUUUAUAUCUAAUCUAGGAUUUUUUUUCUUGAAAUGUUUGCAUAAUACAAUGAUGUCAGCUUCCAAAAUACUGACAUAUGUAUUUGAAAAUAAUGGACAAUGAUGUAAUGAUUAUUACAGAUAUGAUUGCAUAGUCAAAGAACAUCAAGGGACUGAGUUGUCAACGUACAGGCUGUUAAAAUGCAAUGAGUUUUCUUUAUAUCUCAUCUAUUGUUUUUUUGCUUCAUAUGGUUGUGUAAUGAAAUUGAUCUAUGAUAAUGCCAGGUUCCAAAAGAAUGGCUUUUCCUGUAUUUCAAAUUAAUAGACAACAAUGAUGAGCCUACGGACUUGUAAUGAUUAUUGAAGAUAUGAUUGCAUAAUCAAAGAACAUCUAAUGGACUACGUUGUCAACCUUGCAAGUUGUUUUAAGAUGCAGGAGGUCUUUAUGUUUCAUCUAGUGGUUUUUUGAAAUGUUUGUGUAAAUUAAAUUUAUCUAAAUGAUGUUAGAUUUUAAAAUAAAUAAUGGACAACGAUGAUGAGCCUACUAGACCUGUAAUGAUUAUUGCAGAUAUGAUUGCAUAAUCAAAGAGCAUCUAAGGGACUGAGUUGUUAACCUUGCAAACUGUUUUAAGAUGCAUGAGGUUUUUAUUUCUUUCUCACCUAGUACUUUCUUUUAUCUUGAAAUGUUUGCACAAAUAAAUUUAUCUACACUGAUGUCAGGUGCUAAAACAAUGGAUUUUCAUGUAUUCUUUUAACAUUUUGC